CUAAAAUGGAAAAAAACUCUUAAGAUAACCUGUAGAAAGAAAAAACACACAAUUGCGCGUUUGAAUGAUUGCGUAAUUUUGGCAUUAGUAAUUGUAAUCACGAUUAGAAAUUCAAUUAGUUGUGAAGCCCUAUACUUCAGUAAAAACUAUUUCAAAACGGCUUUUGUCAAACUACAACGCUGUGUCGAACAACGUGCAUAAUUCAACACAACAGCAGCAUUGAGUGUCCUAAUGUCCUCUGCAGGUCUCCGGAGCUGUUUGUCUGGUCAGUGGAACUGUGGACUGUGGCAUAAUGAAGGCCUGCGCUGCAAACAGCAUGCUGUUAGCACAGGCUCGAUGCUCGGCCCCCACNCACACUCUUUCUGCCCAGCGACACACACCUUUGGAUCGACUACAUGUCUUCAGAGCGUUAAACGUGCAUUCAUAGUGUGAGAGUCAUGUGUGAGCUAAAGGCACUACAAUUAAUUUUUAUGCUGAAGCUUUUUUCUUUUCUUUUUUUUUGAUCAGGGUUCUUUUUGUAGCAAGUGCUUUCAGCUGAAAUUGAAUGGAAUGUUCCAUGUUUCUCAAGGGCAACUGUGAUGUUUUCUUAACGUACAUGUCUUUUAAUGACCUUUAACAUGAUUAUUUGUUUGCACUGGUGUAGACUGUACUGUACUCGGGGUGUUGGACUUUUUUAAUUAGUGGGAAUGUUUGCGUACUGCAGAAACAUGCAGUUUUGUUAGAGUGAGCUAGAUGACUUUUUUUUUUUUUAUGCUUGAAAUUGUAAUUUUUUUUUGUCGUUUGUCACAGGUUUGCUGGUUAGAUUCAUAAGUACAGCAUGUGCUUGUGGAGGGAAUUAAGGCCAGAUCUUCCUCUCUUCUGCUUAAACUUUAACCGAAUACAUUAGCACUGCCAGAGUAAUCUGUGAAAUCAGCGUAACCCUUCAGAUUGCUGCAGUCGUCUUGAUGGUGUGAUUGAGAGUGUUGCAUAUCAGAAGAUGUGAAUGGUAUUUCCAAAGAUUCCCGCUAUUUUUCCAGCUCUCCAUAUAGAUGUGACGGUAAGCAGUGUACCCCUUACGUUUUAGUGUACCUCUCUGUGAAUUUGUAACAAAAGUGAUACUAAUAGUAGUGAUUAAGUUGCAUCGAGAGAAGACAUUUUACUUUUAUUUCACAGUGAUGUAAAAUAAAGUUUAAAAUAUGAAGAAAAAAAAAGUUGUGAUUGUGAGUUGUUCCUAAUCUAUUUUCAUGUC
ensembl:lncRNA